rnacentral:rRNA from 1 species
GAUGAACGCUGGCGGCGUGCCUAACACAUGCAAGUCGAGCGGACAGACGAGGAGCUUUCUCCUCUGACGUUGGCGGCGGACGGGUGAUGCCUACGUGUAUGACCUACCUCUGAGACUGGGGUAACUUCGGGGAACCGGAUCUAAUACCGGAUAAUAUAUUGAACCGCAGGGUUCAAUAGUGAAAGACGGUUUUGCUGUCACUUAUAGGGGGAUCCGCGCCGCAUUAGCUAGUUGGUAAGGUAACGGCUUACCAAGGCAACGAUGCGUAGCCGACCUGAGAGGGUGAUCGGCCACACUGGAACUGAGACACGGUCCAGACUCCUACGGGAGGCAGCAGUAGGGAAUCUUCCGCAAUGGGCGAAAGCCUGACGGAGCAACGCCGCGUGAGUGAUGAAGGUCUUCGGAUCGUAAAGCUCUGUUAUUAGGGAGGAACAAAAGUGUAAGUAACUAUGCACGUCUUGACGGUACCUAAUCAGUAAGCCACGGCUAACUACGUG